CGCACAUUGCGCCCCCGGGCAUUCCCGGGGGCAUGCCUGUUCGAGCGUCAUUUCAACCCUCAAGCGUCUCGCUUGGUCUUGGGCCACGCCGGCAACGGCCGGCCUUAAAAGCAGUGGCGGUGCCGCCGGGCUCUGCGCGUAGUAAUACCUCUCGCGCUUGGGCUCCGGCGGUCGCUGGCCAGCAACCCCCAAUUUUUCUGGUUGACCUCGGAUCAGGUAGGGAUACCCGCUGAACUUAA
rnacentral:misc_RNA from 1 species